UCCCUGGUGGUCCACUGGUUAAGACUCUGCACUUCCACUGAAGGGGGCUUGGGUUUGAAUCCCAGUCAGGGAA
rnacentral:tRNA from 1 species